UAAGAGGCUUUUAUAAAAGCCAUAUUUAAAUAUCUUGAACUAUUAU
rfam:Physcomitrella patens subsp. patens PHYPAscaffold_101 genomic scaffold, whole genome shotgun sequence.